AGAGUUUGAUCCUGGCUCAGGAUGAACGCUAGCUACAGGCUUAACACAUGCAAGUCGAGGGGCAGCAUGUUGGUUGCUUGCAACCAAUGAUGGCGACCGGCGCACGGGUGAGUAACGCGUAUCCAACCUACCCUUGUCCAUCGGAUAACCCGUCGAAAGGCGGCCUAACACGAUAUGCGGUCCACAGCAGGCAUCUAAGGUGAACGAAAUGUGAAGGAGAAGGAUGGGGAUGCGUCUGAUUAGCUUGGUUGGCGGGGUAACGGCCCACCAAGGCUACGAUCAGUAGGGGUUCUGAGAGGAGGUCCCCCANAUUGGAACUGAGACACGGUCCAACUCAUACGGGAGCA
rnacentral:rRNA from 1 species